CAUUUUGUAUUGAAGUGUAUAUGUAUGGUGUUAUACUUUUAAAGAUUGGUCCCAUAACAUGAUUAUCUUUGGGGAGUGGAGUGUUGAACCUCUUCAAAUGGAACAUGGUGUGGUGGUGGUAGUAGCAUUCUGUGCGGCCAUUUUAAUUCCUGUCUACUUUCUUCUGAAGGUGCAUUAUGUAGUUACAUUUAUUCAUUACAUUUCACCCAUAGUGACUUAAAGACAUCAAUUCUGUAGCAAAAGACACUGUCCUCUGUGCAACUUAUGGUUAAAUGCCUUGCUCAAAUGCAUGACGGUGGAAGCCUGGAAUUGAACUCACAACUACUGUAUGUUAGCCCAACUCUUUAACCACAAUGUUACCACCACUCCAUUAGCUUUGGGAAGUGGAAAGUUGAACUCCUUUAAAAUGGAACAUGUUGUGGUGGUGGUGGUGGUGGUGGUAGUGUAAUGUGUGGCCAUUUUAACUCCUGGUCCAACUGUAAUACUCACAAGAAAACUACCAUGAUCUUUUGGGGGCUACCAAAAGACCCUGCUCACCAAAAGGGCUUUGACUCGUGUAGAUCAUCACUCUUACACUUUCAGUUUCACUUUGGAGUGAGGAUGUUACUGCGCCGAGCCGAAGUGUUCCCAAGUGCUAGUCCGCCACACAUUAUAGUUAUCCCUCUUAGGCUACCUGCUUAGAAAAGCACCAAGUUUUAUCUAGUUUUAUUUCACCAUACUUGGCCAUGUGACUACUCGUGGAGCUGCAGUUUAAUAGGGAAAAUAUGGAGGUGUUUGGUCGCUUCUAACUUCAUCUCUGUUUGGAUCCUAAUGAAUGAACUGGGCUAGCUAAGUGCUAUCAAAGUAGCGCCGCGCACCAGAGCCAGUGCAUGCACUGAAACGCAAUCAGGUAUGUAUCAACUUGUCUUAGUUAAGGGAAUAACGUAGUUUAAUAUGAAAAAACGGUGGAGUGUUCCUUUAAGUGAAGCCAUAAUGCUCUGCUAAUAUUGAUUAGCCUACUGUUGGACUGUGGAUCGGCAACCAACCUGCCCCGUGGUAUGACUGCACUUUACUCUCUUAGCCUACUGCUGUCUGACCGCACAUGCUGAAUAAAGCUGACAUCCUCCACGCUUUUCAGAGGAAGACGCUUCUGCAGACUGAACUCAGAUACUCACCAAAUCUCAAAGAAGUCUCGUCAUGUCUAAGCUAGUUUUCAUCUCAUUCUUCCUGGCAGCACUUGUCAUCAGUGUUGAGGCCCGCCGUAUCGAGACACGAGAUUGGUUCUCUGACAUGAUAUCAAUGUAUGAACAGGCCAAGGAGAUGAUUGGCGAGACAUUUGGUCAAGAGAAAGUUAAAGCUGCAUUUUUGACAGCAGAACAAACAGGAGUACAAAUAAUGUUUGAUACAGCUAACCUUGUGAGGGACAUCUUCAGACUUUGAAAAGCUUCACUAUCUGUGACCUCUUCAUUAAUGUGGAGCCAACCACACCACUUGUCAUCAAUCUUACAAAGCCCUUUUAUUAUGAAUAUGCUAGAGGGCCGAGCAAAAUAUGUUUCUUUUCUUCACUUGUA